AACUCAUCAACAGUCUACUCCUUUUAUGUAUUGGAAGCUUGUCAACUUCUUUUUGAAAAGUUAAAGUCAAGUUAGAGGUAAGACCAUAAACAUAUGAAGACUGUCUGAGAAGACAUGACUGGAAACUGAAUAUUCAGACAAAAAAGGUGGAAUUUGGAGGACAAGACAAGAGAUACUAAGAAGAGUAAACCCAAUAAACAGACUGCAGCACAGAAAGGUCCAGGACCAGGGAGAUGGCUUGUUCAGGAAAGAGUUAACUCAACAGGUCUGGGAUAUUCAAAUCCCACACAUUUCGAAAAAAAGUUCUCUCCUCAUUGGCUCCUGGGAGAAAAUCUCUACGUCUUUGGACUAUUCUUCCACCAAGAUACUGAAAAAAAAAUCUUACCGGAAGGCAAAAAGAAUCUGGCAUCGAAGGUGUCCCUGAAAAAUGAGGAAUGUGACUGACCUGCUCCAGGUGCCAGUUAAAAAAACAAGAAGAGCAAAAAUAAAAGUGAGAUUGAGGUGU
rnacentral:lncRNA from 1 species